GAUGAACGCUGGCGGCGUGCUUAACACAUGCAAGUCGAACGAAGCAUUUAGGAUAGAUUACUACGCUUUGAAGUUCUUUAUGACUGAGUGGUGGACGGGUGAGUAACGCCUGGGUAACCAGCCUUGUACUGGGGGAUAGCUGCUGGAAACGACCGGUAAUACUGCAUAAGCGCACAAAGUUUCAUGACUUGGUGUUAAAAACUCCGGCUGUAUAAGAUGGACCCGCGUCUGAUUAGCUCGAUGGUGAGAUAACAGCCCACCCAGGCGACGAGCAGUAGCCGGAGGGAGAGGGGGAACGGCCGCAUUGGGACUGGGACCCGACCCAGACUCCAGCGGGAGGCAGCGGUGGGGAAUAUUGCACAAUGGAGGAGACUCAGAUGCAGCGACGCCGCGUGGGUGAAGAAGUAAUUCGUAAUGUAAAGCUCUAUCAGCAGAGAAGAUAGUGACGGUACCUGGCUAAGAAGCUCCGGCUAAAUACGUG
rnacentral:rRNA from 1 species